rnacentral:rRNA from 1 species
AUUGAACGCUGGCGGCAUGCCUUACACAUGCAAGUCGAACGGCAGCACGGGUGCUUGCACCUGGUGGCGAGUGGCGAACGGGUGAGUAAUACAUCGGAACGUACCUUAUCGUGGGGGAUAACGCAGCGAAAGCUGUGCUAAUACCGCAUACGCCCUGAGGGGGAAAGCGGGGGUACGAAAGGCAUCGCGCGAUUAGAGCGGCCGAUACCUGAUUAGCUUGUUGGGGGGGUAAAAGCCCACCAAGGCGACGAUCAGUGGCUGGUCUGAGAGGACGAUCAGCCACACUGGGACUGAGACACGGCCCAGACUCCUACGGGAGGCAGCAGUGGGGAAUUUUGGACAAUGGGGGCAACCCUGAUCCAGCAAUGCCGCGUGAGUGAAGAAGGCCUUCGGGUUGUAAAGCUCUUUUGUCAGGGAAGAAACACCGGCUCUAACACAGUCCGGGAAUGACGGUACCUGAAGAAUAAGCACCGGCUAACUACGUGCCAGCCGCCGCAGUAA